rnacentral:misc_RNA from 1 species
AGAGAGGAGUCGAACGCCUUCUAGUAAGGGGUUCGGAUUUGGACGCUGUCGGACCUCGGUCCGGCUCGUCUCGAAAUGCAUUAGCCGUCACCCAACCUCGUAGACGAACGGUGUGAUAAGUGAUCGCCAGAGUCUCGCGUGGGUAGGGUCGGCUUCCAGUCGUCUUCGGACAAUUUGUCG